rnacentral:rRNA from 1 species
GAUGAACGCUGGCGGCGUGCCUAAUACAUGCAAGUCGAGCGAACAGACGAGGAGCUUGCUCCUCUGACGUUAGCGGCGGACGGGUGAGUAACACGUGGAUAACCUACCUAUAAGACUGGGAUAACUUCGGGAAACCGGAGCUAAUACCGGAUAAUAUAUUGAACCGCAUGGUUCAAUAGUGAAAGACGGUUUUGCUGUCACUUAUAGAUGGGUCCGCGCCGCAUUAGCUAGUUGGUAAGGUAACGGCUUACCAAGGCAACGAUGCGUAGCCGACCUGAGAGGGUGAUCGGCCACACUGGAACUGAGACACGGUCCAGACUCCUACGGGAGGCAGCAGUAGGGAAUCUUCCGCAAAGGGCGAAAGCCUGACGGAGCAACGCCGCGUGAGUGAUGAAGGUCUUCGGAUCGUAAAACUCUGUUAUUAGGGAAGAACAAAUGUGUAAGUAACUAUGCACGUCUUGACGGUACCUAAUCAGAAAGCCACGGCUAACUACGUG